GGGAGAUUCACUGACUGACUGACUGACAUCCAUCCAUCACACUGCGUGUGAGUAUCAGUAUAACAAACCUACUGCCAGUACAUUAUCGUAGCUUCACCAGGAUUUUCAUGGUAUCAGCUCCAUUUCCCAACAAUACACUUCCUCUUUCAGAACACGCUCCUUUCUUUCUCUCUGACAGGAAGUGACUAGGCCUCUCCCCUUACCCCUCAGCUCACUCUCGGAUCCCCCCGGACAGCGGUUGGUCGGUUGCCGUGGCCAACCAGACGCUGUGUCCCUGUAUGUCCGUCAGGGAAGAUGAGGUCUGUCGACGAGCUAAACCACUAAUCAGCAACAUUCCAGAACUCUCCGGAAGACGGGAAACAAACAUUCUGUCCGUGGUUCAUUCCUGUUGUUUAAUUACACUGUUCUGUUGACGGAGGCCCCUUAUCAACAGAUCUCUAACAGAGUUCCUCCUGUUGCUACAGUCCCUCUUUUAACAGACAACUAAUGACCAUAUUGAGGCUUUAUGAAGGCAUUCAUGAAGAGCACUACAUACAUGCUUCACAAAUCAUUAUAAGCCAAGUCGUAGCCUACAUGGGUGAUCCAAAGGCUCCUUACAGCUGGUAUUGUGUCGUGGCAUAAGAGCUUUAGACCUACGUCUUAUAAACGGUUUGAUUUCACUACAUCUAUAACCUACUUUUACUUUGACUAGAUGUCUAGUAGGAUGUCUAGUAGCAUGUUUGGUAUGAUGUUAAGUUGGAUGUCUAGUAGGAUGUUUAGUAGGAUGUUUGGUAUGAUGUCUAGUAGGAUGUUUGGUAUGAUGUCUAGUUGGAUGUUUAGUAGGAUGUCAGGCAGGAUGUUUGGUAGGAUGUUUGGUAGGAUGUCUAGUAGGAUGUCUAGUAGGAUGUCUGGUAGGAUGUCUAGUAGGAUAUUUAGUAGGAUGUCUGGUAGGAUGUCUGGUAGGAUGUCUGGUAGGAUGUCUGGUAGGAUGUCUGGUCGGAUGUCUGGUCGGAUGUCUGGUCGGGUGUCUGGUCUGGUAGGUUGUCUAGUAGGGUGUCUGGUAGGUUGUCUAGUAGGGUGUCUGGUAGGUUGUCUAGUAGGGUGUCUGGUAGGUUGUCUAGUAGGUUGUCUGGUAGGAUGUCUAGUAGGUUGUCUGGUAGGAUGUCUAGUAGGAUGUUUGGUAUGAUGUCUAGUAGGAUGUUUGGUAUGAUGUGUAGUUGGGUGUCUGGUAGGUUGUCUAGUAGGGUGUCUGGUAGGUUGUCUGGUAGGAUGUCUGGUAGGAUGUUUGGUAUGAUGUCUAGUAGGGUGUCUAGUAGGGUGUCUAGUAGGUUGUCUAGUAGGUUGUCUAGUAGGUUGUCUGGUAGGUUGUCUAGUAGGUUGUCUGGUAGGUUGUCUAGUAGGUUGUCUAGUAGGUUGUCUGGUAGGAUGUCUAGUAGGAUGUCUGGUAGGAUGUCUAGUAGGAUGUUUGGUAUGAUGUCUAGUAGGAUGUUUGGUAUGAUGUGUAGUUGGGUGUCUGGUAGGUUGUCUAGUAGGGUGUCUGGUAGGUUGUCUGGUAGGAUGUCUGGUAGGAUGUUUGGUAUGAUGUCUAGUAGGGUGUCUGGUAUGAUGUCUAGUAGGGUGUCUAGUAGGGUGUCUAGUAGGGUGUCUGGUAUGAUGUCUAGUAGGAUGUUUGGUAUGAUGUCUAGUAGGGUGUCUGGUAUGAUGUCUAGUAGGAUGUUUGGUAUGAUGUCUAGUAGGAUGUCUAGUAGGAUGUCUAGUAGGGUGUCUAGUAGGGUGUCUGGUAUGAUGUCUGGUAUGAUGUCUAGUAGGGUGUCUAGUAGGGUGUCUAGUAGGGUGUCUAGUAGGGUGUCUAGUAGGGUGUCUAGUAGGGUGUCUAGUAGGGUGUCUAGUAGGGUGUCUAGUAGGGUGUCUAGUAGGGUGUCCAGGGUGUAGUAGGGUGU
ensembl:lncRNA